rnacentral:misc_RNA from 1 species
CUUGGUCAUUUAGAGGAAGUAAAAGUCGUAACAAGGUCUCCGUUGGUGAACCAGCGGAGGGAUCAUUACAGAGUUGCAAAACUCCCAAACCAUUGUGAACGUUACCUAAACCGUUGCUUCGGCGGGCGGCCCGGGUCCUUCCCGGCGCCCCUCGGCCCUCGCGGGCGCCCGCCGGAGGUAAACCAAACUAUUGCAUUGUAUGGCCUCUCUGAGUCUUCUGUACUGAAUAAGUCAAAACUUUCAACAACGGAUCUCUUGGUUCUGGCAUCGAUGAAGAACGCAGCGAAAUGCGAUAAGUAAUGUGAAUUGCAGAAUUCAGUGAAUCAUCGAAUCUUUGAACGCACAUUGCGCCCGCCAGUAUUCUGGCGGGCAUGCCUGUUCGAGCGUCAUUUCAACCAUCAAGCCCCGGGCUUGUGUUGGGGACCUGCGGCUGCCGCAGGCCCUGAAAUGCAGUGGCGGGCUCGCUGUCACUCCGAGCGUAGUAGUUACAUCUCGCUCUGGGCGUGCUGCGGGUUCCGGCCGUUAAAAGCCUUAUUUACCCAAGGUUGACCUCGGAUCAGGUAGGAAGACCCGCUGAACUUAAGCAUAUCAAUAAGCGGAGGA